UUUCUUCCGAUGCUUUGAUCGUUGUCCAAUUGUGUCAAGAUAUUGUAGAUGCCGGAACGGCAUACCAGGCGUCUACAAAGUGCCGCACGAUGUCCGUUUUUGACGUGGCGGGGUACCAUUUUUUUACCGCAAACGUUAUCCUCUUGAAAAAGAUGACGUCCGUCACAUUUUUCGAAUUUCUGCAACAAUAUUUCUGGAUUAUAAUAAGCCUAAACACGCUUAAAAAGUGACUAUAUUAGAAUGUAAUUCGAUAAUGGGAUGUAAAUCGACAGUCACGCUUUUUUAACCCUUAACUGUAUGAAAAAAUGCAGAAUUCUGAAGUACAAAUAACCGGGAAAAAUAUUUGAACGAACCGGGAAAAACCGGGAAAAAACCGGGAAUUUAAUUUCGAGUUUUGAGUGUCACCCUGCUUAACGUUUGUUUUCAGUAUAAUGUGCACUUUUAAUGAAUAUCUUAUAUUGUGUGUAAGCAUUUUAAAUUUAAUUUUGAUGCCUUGAUGAAUUUAUGAUCGGUAGGCAAAAUUUCGCCGGUAGCACUCCCCUGAUGGCAACCGAGAAUAUCGGACAGCAAUAUCGAGUCGCAAUAUCGAAAUAUCGAUAAUAUCAAAUGCGCCAAUAUCGGUCAAAAAUAUUGAUAUUGUGACGAGCAAAUAUCGAUAAUAUCGAAUAUCGAUAAAAUAUCAACAACCCUAGUAGAUUUCAUUUAACGAGGCAAGUAGCGGGAGAAGAACGCUAAUACUACUAGUAUGCCAUUAUAAACUAAAUUAAACUAAACUUAAUUUGGUGUGAUCUUACACUCGAAGUAGCGGCAGGAAAUGGCACCGCAAGGACAAACAUUGUGCGAAUGCAACUUCUCUCGGAACAGCUACAAUGGCAAGCUUCAAUGAAACGACAACUUGACUGAUUGUCAACAGCUACGACAGGUGGAUGCCUUUGCAAGCAAUUGAACCACACAAGAAACCUAAGCUCGAUGAAGGAACAACGACGACUGUAACUCCUGGGACGCUUGGAAUCGUGAGCAGGAAAGCAUCUACACCACUCAAACCUCGUAUCAAGCGGGUGAAUCUGCACAGUACGCAAUAUGCUGUUUUAUCUGGAGCAGGAGAAAGAAUGCUGCAGAAGUCAAAUGCUGUACGGGGCCUACCUCAAGUGAUCGAUUGUGGUGCGAACAGCGGUGAUAAUCGGGGUGGUCAUUCUGCACCGAGAAACAAACGACGCUUUCGGACUAUGCUAGAGUAGUCAGUCUAUACACCAGAGAGGCGUCAAGACACUCACUGUUAAGGCAACUGUCAACAUCAAAACGGGCGAGCUGUAUGAAUUUGCAUUACCGUCAUACGUUUUGGUGUGGCAGUUGCCUUAACGGUGGGUGUCUUGUUAGUUCUCUAAUUUACAGUUUUCUAUACACAAUGCUGCAAAUCGAAACGUUGCUGAGAAUUGAACUAUCAAUAAGACAUAGGAAUUUGCUAGGAUUGUAUUUUUAUUCUGUUUGGUGUGCAAGAAAAUAAUCUACAUUUAGUAUUUAGUAGUAGAAGGCCGUGUGUAAUUUCAGACAAAAGGUUUAUAAAUAGACUGUUUUAAAUUAUUA